AUUGAACGCUGGCGGCAUGCCUUACACAUGCAAGUCGAACGGCAGCACGGGAGCUUGCUCCUGGUGGCGAGUGGCGAACGGGUGAGUAAUACAUCGGAACGUACCCAGGAGUGGGGGAUAACGUAGCGAAAGUUACGCUAAUACCGCAUAUUCUGUGAGCAGGAAAGCGGGGGAUCGCAAGACCUCGCGCUCUUGGAGCGGCCGAUGUCGGAUUAGCUAGUUGGUGGGGUAAAGGCCCACCAAGGCGACGAUCAGUAGCUGGUCUGAGAGGAUGAUCAGCCACACUGGGACUGAGACACGGCCCAGACUCCUACGGGAGGCAGCAGUGGGGAAUUUUGGACAAUGGGGGCAACCCUGAUCCAGCCAUUCCGCGUGAGUGAAGAAGGCCUUCGGGUUGUAAAGCUCUUUUGUCCGGGAAGAAACGGUUUCACCUAAUACGUGAGACUACUGACGGUACCGGAAGAAUAAGGACCGGCUAACUACGUGCCAGCAGCCGCAGUAACAC
rnacentral:rRNA from 1 species